rnacentral:rRNA from 1 species
CCUACGGGUGACAGCAGUGAGGAAUAUUGGUCAAUGGGCGAGAGCCUGAACCAGCCAAGUAGCGUGAAGGAUGACUGCCCUACGGGUUGUAAACUUCUUUUAUAAAGGAGUAAAGUGAGGCACGUGUGCCUCUUUGUAUGUACUUUAUGAAAAAGGAUCGGCUAACUCCGUGCCAGCAGCCGCGGUAAUACGGAGGAUCCGAGCGUUAUCCGGAUUUAUUGGGUUUAAAGGGUGCGGAGAUGGGUUGUUAAGUCAGUUGUGAAAGUUUGCGGCUCAACCGUAAAAUUGCAAUUGAUACUGGCUGUCUUGAGUACAGGUGAGGUAGGCGGAAUUCGUGGUGUAGCGGUGAAAUGCUUAGAUAUCACGAAGAACUCCGAUUGCGAAGGCAGCUUACUAAACUGCCACUGACAUUGAUGCUCGAAAGUGUGGGUAUCAAACAGGAUUAGAUACCCUGGUAGUC